UACGUAGGUGGCAAGCGUUGUUCGGAAUGACUGGGCGUAAAGGGCGCGUAGGCGGGUCUGUAUGUCGAUUGUGAAAGCCCUGGGCUUAACCUGGGAAUGGCAGUCGAAACUGCAGAUCUUGAGUGCCUGAGAGGAUGGCGGAAUUCCCGGUGUAGAAGUGAAAUUCGUAGAUAUCGGGAAGAACACCAGUGGCGAAGGCGCCUUCCUGGCCUGUAACUGACGCUGAUACGCGAAAGCGUGGGGAGCAAACCGG
rnacentral:rRNA from 1 species